UACGAAGGGGGCUAGCGUUGCUCGGAAUCACUGGGCGUAAAGCGCACGUAGGCGGAUUGCUAAGUCAGGGGUGAAAUCCCGGGGCUCAACCUCGGAACUGCCUUUGAUACUGCGGGUCUUGAGUCCGAUAGAGGUGGGUGGAAUUCCUAGUGUAGAGGUGAAAUUCGUAGAUAUUAGGAAGAACACCGGUGGCGAAGGCGGCCCACUGGAUCGGUACUGACGCUGAGGUGCGAAAGCGUGGGGAGCAAACAGG
rnacentral:rRNA from 1 species